ACGCUGGCGGCAGGCCUAACACAUGCAAGUCGAGCGGUAGAGAGAAGCUUGCUUCUCUUGAGAGCGGCGGACGGGUGAGUAAUGCCUAGGAAUCUGCCUGGUAGUGGGGGAUAACGUUCGGAAACGGACGCUAAUACCGCAUACGUCCUACGGGAGAAAGCAGGGGACCUUCGGGCCUUGCGCUAUCAGAUGAGCCUAGGUCGGAUUAGCUAGUUGGUGAGGUAAUGGCUCACCAAGGCGACGAUCCGUAACUGGUCUGAGAGGAUGAUCAGUCACACUGGAACUGAGACACGGUCCAGACUCCUACGGGAGGCAGCAGUGGGGAAUAUUGGACAAUGGGCGAAAGCCUGAUCCAGCCAUGCCGCGUGUGUGAAGAAGGUCUUCGGAUUGUAAAGCACUUUAAGUUGGGAGGAAGGGUUGUAGAUUAAUACUCUGCAAUUUUGACGUUACCGACAGAAUAAGCACCGGCUAACUCUGUGCCAGCAGCCGCGGUAAUACAGAGGGUGCAAGCGUUAAUCGGAAUUACUGGGCGUAAAGCGCGCGUAGGUGGUUUGUUAAGUUGGAUGCGAAAUCCCCGGGCUCAACCUGGGAACUGCAUUCAAAACUGACUGACUAGAGUAUGGUAGAGGGUGGUGGAAUUUCCUGUGUAGCGGUGAAAUGCGUAGAUAUAGGAAGGAACACCAGUGGCGAAGGCGACCACCUGGACUAAUACUGACACUGAGGUGCGAAAGCGUGGGGCAAAC
rnacentral:rRNA from 1 species